rnacentral:lncRNA from 1 species
AGAGGUUGUUUAAAAGGAUUACUAUUAGAAUUUGUAUAACUUUAUUUUUUUUUGAUAGUGACUUUUGAAGUUGGUUUUAUUGCUAGUAAUUUUAUACAUUGAGAGUCACCUUUAUUAGACAUUGGUGACCCUUAAAGUUUUAUUUUGAUUCUUUAAUUUGAUGUUUAAGGCAUAUAAUAUGUAAAUAUUUAUAUGAAAAAGAAUUGAAGAGGGAUUUUG